UGAAAACCUUGCUUUUCUUCUUCCUCUGUCGUGAACUCCACUCCCAAAGCUAGACAUAUUAAGUAUCGAUUCGAAGGUGUUAAGGAUUUUGCUUAGAACUUCAGUGAGGCAAAGGUUUGAAGAAAGUGGAAGACUGAUUGGUUGAGGAUAGCAUACUACUUGAAGAUCAUAUCAGGACAAAUUAAAUGUAGGUUUUUGUGUUAAUUUUGUAAA